rnacentral:rRNA from 1 species
CGCACGGGUGAGUAACACGUGACUUAUCUACCCUCGAGUGGGGAAUAACUUCGGGAAACCGAGGCUAAUACCGCAUAAUACCCACGGGUCAAAGGAGCAAUUCGCUUGAGGAGGAGGUCGCGGCCGAUUAGUUAGUUGGCGGGGUAAUGGCCCCACCCAAGACGGUGAUCGGUAUCCGGCCUGAGAGGGCGCACGGACACACUGGAACUGAAACACGGUCCAGACUCCUACGGGAGGCAGCAGUGGGGAAUUUUGCGCAAUGGGGGAAACCCUGACGCAGCAACGCCGCGUGGAGGAUGAAGUCUCUUGGGACGUAAACUCCUUUCGAUCGGGACGAUUAUGACGGUACCGGAAGAAGAAGCCCCGGCUAACUUCGUG